CAGUCGCCGCGGUAAUACGAAGGGUGCAAGCGUUACUCGGAAUCACUGGGCGUAAAGCGCACGUAGGCGGACUUUUAAGUCAGGGGUGAAAUCCCAAGGCUCAACCUUGGAACGGCCUUUGAUACUGGAAGUCUUGAGUUCGGGAGAGGUGAGUGGAACUGCGAGUGUAGAGGUGAAAUUCGUAGAUAUUCGCAAGAACACCAGUGGCGAAGGCGGCUCACUGGCCCGAUACUGACGCUGAGGUGCGAAAGCGUGGGGAGCAAACAGGAUUAGAUACCCGGGUAGUCCCUGUCUCUUAUAC
rnacentral:rRNA from 1 species